CACUAGUUGCCCGCGGUGAGCUGUGUUGUUCAAAUGUUUGUUUACCUUGUAAUGAAUUUUUAUUCUGGAGCAUAUGCCGAAUAAGCAUUCUUACAUCAAUGGAUUUUCAUCUAUUACAGAAAUAUCAAGAUUAAAUUGUCAUGUCACAUGAGGUGGAGAAAGAAUUUCUCUAAAAAUCUUUUCCUAAAUCAACCAGUAGUGAUCCUUCCACCGCAUAAAAUUAUGGAUCACGGGUAAGGCCAGAAAUAUCUUGCAUGGCAUUGGCGGACAGUAAUUACGAAACAUGGAUCGUUGGCGGGAAGCUAAUACGCCAAGAUUUUUUGAAAUUACUGUUUUGAAAUUCGACCGUGAUGAUGUCAUCUGAAAUCAAUGAGCAACACUUUUUAGAAUCGAAUUAUUUUUCGGUUGACAAAUUCUGAUUAUGUAUAAGUAACUAUAGCC